GGAGAUAUGAAGUACUUUCUUAGACCUCUGUUUGUUGUGUCCAUACCGUGUCUGCUAUCUCAAAGUGUACUAUAAUUCCCAAGUGAAUAAGUAGUGCAAAAGUAGUAGGUUUGAGUUUCGGUGUAGUGUAGUAUUCAAACAUCUGUGUUUGUUUGUAUCGUCGCUAUCUUUGUGCUGGUCUCGUGUGCGACUUUUGAUGUAACCUCAUGUGGCUGUUGUGGUCUGGACAAUUGGGACUCUGUCUUCGCCGAUAGUGCGUGAAUGACCGGUGGUGCGUCCGCCUCGUGGUCCACUUCCCAUCUGAGGAAGACCUACAACAUCAGACGGUCCCACGCCGGUAGGAGGUCGACGAACGGUCGCUUCUACUCUGCGACGACCAGGCCCCCUUACGGGAGGAAUAGGACCUAGAACCGGAAGUGUAACAGCUACCACAGGCUCCUGAGGUGGAGGUCCCACUACCAGAACGGCCACUCGCAGAACUGUUUUUAGACGUACGGAGGUGCUUCGGACUCGUGGUCCACCUCCCACCUGAGGAAGACUUACAACAUCAGUCGGUCCCACGCCGGUAGGAGGUCGACGAACGGCCGUUUCUACUCCGCGACG
rnacentral:rRNA from 1 species